rnacentral:rRNA from 1 species
UACGUAGGGUGCGAGCGUUGUCCGGAAUUAUUGGGCGUAAAGAGCUCGUAGGCGGUUUGUCGCGUCGACUGUGAAAACCUACAGCUUAACUGUGGGCUUGCAGUCGAUACGGGCAGGCUAGAGUUCGGUAGGGGAGACUGGAAUUCCUGGUGUAGCGGUGAAAUGCGCAGAUAUCAGGAGGAACACCGGUGGCGAAGGCGGGUCUCUGGGCCGAUACUGACGCUGAGGAGCGAAAGCGUGGGGAGCGAACAGG